AGCGAACGCUGGCGGCAGGCUUAACACAUGCAAGUCGAGCGGGCACUUUCGGGUGUCCGCGGCGGACGGGUGGGUAAUGCGUGGGAACGUGCCCUCUGGUUCGGAAUAACUCAGGGGAACUUGAGCUAAUACCGGAUACGCCCCUUUGGGGAAAGGCUUGCUGCCGGAGGAGCGGCCCGCGUCUGAUUCGCUAGUUGGUGAGGUAACGGCUCACCAAGGCGACGAUCUGUAGCUGGUCUGAGAGGAUGAUCCGCCACACUGAGACUGAGACACGGCCCAGACUCCUACGGGAGGCAGCAGUGGGGAAUACUGGACAAUGGGCGCAAGCCUGAUCCAGCCAUGCCGCGUGAGUGAUUAAGGCCUGAGAGUUGUAAAGCUCUUUUAUCCGGGACGAUAAUGACGGUACCGGAGGAAUAAGCCCCGGCUAACUUCGUG
rnacentral:rRNA from 1 species